rnacentral:rRNA from 2 species
UACAGAGGGGGCGAGCGUUGUUCGGAAUUACUGGGCGUAAAGGGCGCGUAGGCGGCCACCUCAGUCGGACGUGAAAUCCCCGGGCUCAACCCGGGAACUGCGUCCGAUACUGGGUGGCUAGAGUCCGGGAGAGGGAAGUGGAAUUCCAGGUGUAGCGGUGAAAUGCGUAGAUAUCUGGAGGAACACCGGUGGCGAAGGCGGCUUCCUGGACCGGUACUGACGCUGAGGCGCGAAAGCCAGGGGAGCAAACGGG